UUAAGCGUGUAGGUGUGUGUUCCAGGUAAAUCCGGUUCACUUUAACACUGAGGCGUGAUGACGAGGCACUACGGUGCUGAAGCAACAAAUGCCCUGCUUCCAGGAAAAGCCUCUAAGCAUCAGGUAACAUCAAAUCGUACCCCAAACCGACACAGGUGGUCAGGUAGAGAAUACCAAGGCGCUUGAGAGAACUCGGGUGAAGGAACUAGGCAAAAUGGUGCCGUAACUUCGGGAGAAGGCACGCUGACAYGUAGGUGAAGUGAUUUACUCAUGGAGCUGAAGUCAGUCGAAGAUACCAGCUGGCUGCAACUGUUUAUUAAAAACACAGCACUGUGCAAACACGAAAGUGGACGUAUACGGUGUGACGCCUGCCCGGUGCCGGAAGGUUAAUUGAUGGGGUCAGCGCAAGCGAAGCUCCUGAUCGAAGCCCCGGUAAACGGCGGCCGUAACUAUAACGGUCCUAAGGUAGCGAAAUUCCUUGUCGGGUAAGUUCCGACCUGCACGAAUGGCGUAAUGAUGGCCAGGCUGUCUCCACCCGAGACUCAGUGAAAUUGAACUCGCUGUGAAGAUGCAGUGUACCCGCGGCAAGACGGAAAGACCCCGUGAACCUUUACUAUAGCUUGACACUGAACAUUGAGCCUUGAUGUGUAGGAUAGGUGGGAGGCUUUGAAGUGUGGACGCCAGUCUGCAUGGAGCCGACCUUGAAAUACCACCCUUUAAUGUUUGAUGUUCUAACGUGGACCCGUAAUCCGGGUUGCGGACAGUGUCUGGUGGGUAGUUUGACUGGGGCGGUCUCCUCCUAAAGAGUAACGGAGGAGCACGAAGGUUGGCUAAUCCUGGUCGGACAUCAGGAGGUUAGUGCAAUGGCAUAAGCCAGCUUGACUGCGAGCGUGACGGCGCGAGCAGGUGCGAAAGCAGGUCAUAGUGAUCCGGUGGUUCUGAAUGGAAGGGCCAUCGCUCAACGGAUAAAAGGUACUCCGGGGAUAACAGGCUGAUACCGCCCAAGAGUUCAUAUCGACGGCGGUGUUUGGCACCUCGAUGUCGGCUCAUCACAUCCUGGGGCUGAAGUAGGUCCCAAGGGUAUGGCUGUUCGCCAUUUAAAGUGGUACGCGAGCUGGGUUUAGAACGUCGUGAGACAGUUCGGUCCCUAUCUGCCGUGGGCGCUGGAGAACUGAGGGGGGCUGCUCCUAGUACGAGAGGACCGGAGUGGACGCAUCACUGGUGUUCGGGUUGUCAUGCCAAUGGCACUGCCCGGUAGCUAAAUGCGGAAGAGAUAAGUGCUGAAAGCAUCUAAGCACGAAACUUGCCCCGAGAUGAGUUCUCCCUGAGACUUAGAGUCUCCUGAAGGAACGUUGAAGACGACGACGUUGAUAGGCCGGGUGUGUAAGCGCAGCGAUGCGUUGAGCUAACCGGUACUAAUGAACCGUGAGGCUUAACCUU
rnacentral:rRNA from 1 species